CCCAAGAUGCCGAAAGGGAAGAAGGCGAAGGGGAAGAAGGUGGCCCGACCCCUGCUGUCGUGAAGAAGCAGGAGGCCAAGAAGGUGGUCAAUCCCCUGUUCGAGAAGAGGCCCAAGAAUUUUGGCAUCGGACAGGACAUCCAGCCCAAAAGGGACCUCACCCACUUUGUCAAAUGGCCCCGCUACAUCUGGCUGCCAACGGCAAAGGGCUAUUCUCUAUAAACGUCUAAAAGUGCCUCCUGCAAUUAACCAGUUCACCCAGGCCUUGGACCGCCAGACAGCUACUCAACUGCUUAAGCUGGCCCACAAGUACAGACCAGAGACAAAGCAGGAGAAGAAGCAGAGAUUGUUGGCCCGGGCUGAGAAGAAAGCUGCAGGCAAAGGGGAUGUCCCCACUAAGAGGCUACCUGUCCUUCCAGCUGGGGUUAACACUGUCACCACCCUGGUGGAAAACAAGAAGGCUCAGCUGGUAGUGAUUGCACAUGCUGUGGAUCCCAUUGAGCUGGUGGUUUUCCUGCCUGCCCUGUGCCGUAAGAUGGGGGUUCCCUACUGCAUUAUCAAGGGGAAGGCCAGGCUGGGCCGUCUGGUCCACAGGAAGACCUGCACCACUGUCGCCUUCACACAGGUCAACCCGGAAGACAAAGGAGCCCUGGCAAAGCUGGUGGAGGCCAUCAGGACCAACUACAAUGACAGAUACGACGAGAUCCGCCGCCACUGGGGAGGCAACGUCUUGGGCCCAAAGUCUGUGGCUCGCAUCGCCAAGCUGGAAAAGGCAAAGGCUAAAGAACUGGCCACCAAACUGGGCUGAGUGGAUGCUGUUGAAUUUUCUGUACAUAAAAGUAAUAAAACGUUGUGUUUCA